rnacentral:rRNA from 1 species
GACGAACGCUGGCGGCGUGCCUAAUACAUGCAAGUCGAACGCAGUGGGGACGGGUGCGUAACCCGUGGGUAACCUCCCAUCAGAGGGGAUAACACUUGGAAACAGGUGCUAAACCGAUACUGAUGGAUGGACCCGCGGUGCAUUAGCUAGUUGGUGAGGUAACGGCUCACCAAGGCCACGAUGCAUAGCCGACAGGAGGGGGGGAUGGGCCACACGGUGACUGAGCAACGGCACAGGUGCCUACUUGAGGCAGCAGGAGGGAAUCUGCGGCAAUGGACGAAAGUCUGACCGAGCAACGCCGCGUGAGGGAAGAAGGUUUUCGGAUCGUAAAACUCUGUUGUUAGAGAAGCGGUAUCUAACCAGAAAGCCACGGCUAACUACGUGCCAGCAGCCGCGGUAAUUC